rnacentral:rRNA from 1 species
GGAGCGUAGGCCGCUGUUUAAGCGUGUUGUGAAAAACCGGGGCUCAACUCCGGUCGUGCAGCGCGAACUGGACGGCUUGAGUGCGCGGUAAGUGGGCGGAAUUUGUGGUGUAGCGGUGAAAUGCUUAGAUAUCACGAAGAACUCCGAUUGCGAAGGCAGCUCACUGUAGCGCAACUGACGCUGAAGCUCGAAAGUGCGGGUAUCGAACAGGAUUAGAUACCCUGGUAGUCCGCACGGUAAACGAUGGAUGCCCGCUGUUCCGGCAUUAGUUGGAGCGGCCAAGCGAAAGCAUUAAGCAUCCCACCUGGGGAGUACGCCGGCAACGGUGAAACUCAAAGGAAUUGACGGGGGCCCGCACAAGCGGAGGAACAUGUGGUUUAAUUCGAUGAUACGCGAGGAACCUUACCCGGGCUUGAAUUGCAGAGGAAGGAUUUGGAGACAAUGACGCCCUUCGGGGUCUCUGUGAAGGUGCUGCAUGGUUGUCGUCAGCUCGUGCCGUGAGGUGUCGGCUUAAGUGCCAUAACGAGCGCAACCCCUCUCCUUAGUUGCCAUCAGGUCACGCUGGGCACUCUGGGGACACUGCCACCGUAAGGUGUGAGGAAGGUGGGGAUGACGUCAAAUCAGCACGGCCCUUACGUCCGGGGCUACACACGUGUUACAAUGGCAGGUACAGAGAGAUGGUGUUCUGCAAAGCGCAUCUAAUCCUUAAAGCCUGUCUCAGUUCGGACUGGGGUCUGCAACCCGACCCCACGAAGCUGGAUUCGCUAGUAAUC